rnacentral:misc_RNA from 1 species
GCAAACUUGGUCAUUUAGAGGAAGUAAAAGUCGUAACAAGGUCAUCGUAGGUGAACCUGCGGUGGGAUCAUCAAUAAUCUACCAAAACAACAAACAAAAUGGUGUGAAAAUUGAGUGUUUUUAAACUGUAUUCUCUCGAUGUAGGGUACAAAUUUAUUUGGGAUUCCUUAGGGAAACCCGGGUACUUUUAACUCUAUGUUGUUUGAACAACUUGCACUUUUCAACAGUGUCAAUUCUAUCUUAUGGCCAAAACCAUAUAACAAACCUAAAAAUUUUAUUUUACUCGUAUUCAUUUCCUAACAGAUUUGAUUUUGAGAAAGAAAAAUUCAUAUAAAACUAUUAAUGGUGGAUCACUUGGCUCUCGCAUCGAUGAAGAACGCAGC